GGGGGGGGGCAUUACACCGUCGUGCAGGCGUUACGAUGGUGGGCGGUUACAACCGCCCGCCUUUCCCAGCAAUCGAAGGCUUCAAGAAGCCUCGAUCGGAUCCGGUGUUAGACCUACGCCGUCGGAGCAGAGGGCUGCAUCGUCGGAGUAGGAGACGAACGAUCCCCUUUAAAGCAGGUAAAGCCCUUCUUCAUUUAUUUUUUUUUAAGAUCCAGCUUAGAGAUAAAAAAAAAAAA